rnacentral:rRNA from 1 species
CGGACGGGUGAGUAAUGUCUGGGAAACUGCCCGAUGGAGGGGGAUAACUACUGGAAACGGUAGCUAAUACCGCAUAACGUCGCAAGACCAAAGAGGGGGACGUUCGGGCCUCUUGCCAUCGGAUGUGCCCAGAUGGGAUUAGCUAGUAGGUGGGUAACGGCUCACCUAGGCGACGAUCCCUAGCUGGUCUGAGAGGAUGACCAGCCACACUGGAACUGAGACACGGUCCAG